AGCGAACGCUGGCGGCAGGCCUAACACAUGCAAGUCGAACGAACCUUUCGGGGUUAGUGGCGGACGGGUGAGUAACACGUGGGAACGUGCCUUUAGGUUCGGAAUAACUCAGGGAAACUUGUGCUAAUACCGAAUGUGCCCUUCGGGGGAAAGAUUAAUCGCCUUUAGAGCGGCCCGCGUCUGAUUAGCUAGUUGGUUGAGGUAAUGGCUCACCAAGGCGACGAUCAGUAGCUGGUCUGAGAUGAUGAUCAGCCACAUUGGGACUGAGACACGGCCCAAACUCCUACGGGAGGCAGCAGUGGGGAAUCUUGCGCAAUGGGCGAAAGCCUGACGCAGCCAUGCCGCGUGAAUGAUGAAGGUCUUAGGAUUGUAAAAUUCUUUCACCGGGGACGAUAAUGACGGUACCCGGAGAAGAAGCCCCGGCUAACUUCGUG
rnacentral:rRNA from 1 species